rnacentral:rRNA from 1 species
UACGGGGGGGGCAAGCGUUGUUCGGAAUUACUGGGCGUAAAGGGUUCGUAGGUGGCCAACUAAGUCAGACGUGAAAUCCCUCAGCUUAACUGGGGAACUGCGUCUGAUACUGGUUGGCUUGAGUGCAGGAGAGGAACGCGGAAUUCCAGGUGUAGCGGUGAAAUGCGUAGAGAUCAGGAAGAACACCGGUGGCGAAGGCGCUCUGCUAGGCCGCAACUGACACUGAGGGACGAAAGCUAGGGGAGCGAAUGGG